rnacentral:rRNA from 1 species
UACGUAGGGUGCAAGCGUUUGUCCGGAAUUAUUGGGCGUAAAGAGCGUGUAGGCGGCCAGAUAAGUCCGCUGUGAAAUCUCGAGGCUCAACUUCGAGCUGUCGGUGGAAACUGUCUGGCUAGAGUCCGGAAGAGGAGAAUGGAAUUCCUGGUGUAGCGGUGAAAUGCGCAGAUAUCAGGAGGAAUACCGGUGGCGAAAGCGACUCUCUGGACGGCAACUGACGCUGAGGCACGAAAGCGUGGGGAGCAAACGGG